UGAACGCUAUCUACAGGCUUAACACAUGCAAGUCGAGGGGCAGCAUGGUCUUAGCUUGCUAAGGCCGAUGGCGACCGGCGCACGGGUGAGUAACGCGUAUCCAACCUGCCUUACACUCUUGGACAGCCUUCUGAAAGGGAGAUUAAUACAAGAUGUUAUCAUGAGUAAGCAUUUUCGCAUGAUUAAAGGUUUACCGGUGUAAGAUGGGGAUGCGUUCCAUUAGAUAGUAGGCGGGGUAACGGCCCACCUAGUCUUCGAUGGAUAGGGGUUCUGAGAGGAAGGUCCCCCACAUUGGAACUGAGACACGGUCCAAACUCCUACGGGAGGCAGCAGUGAGGAAUAUUGGUCAAUGGACGAGAGUCUGAACCAGCCAAGUAGCGUGAAGGAUGAAGGUUCUAUGGAUUGUAAACUUCUUUUAUACGGGAAUAAACGAAUCCACGUGUGGAUUUUUGCAUGUACCGUAUGAAUAAGGAUCGGCUAACUCCGUGCCAGCAGCCGCGGUAAUACGGAGGAUCCGAGCGUUAUCCGGAUUUAUUGGGUUUAAAGGGAGCGUAGAUGGGUUGUUAAGUCAGUUGUGAAAGUUUGCGGCUCAACCGUAAAAUUGCAAUUGAUACUGGCAGUCUUGAGUACAGUUGAGGUAGGCGGAAUUCGUGGUGUAGCGGUGAAAUGCUUAGAUAUCACGAAGAACUCCGAUUGCGAAGGCAGCUUACUAACCUGUAACUGACAUUGAUGCUUGAAAGUGUGGGUAUCAAACAGGAUUAGAUACCCUGGUAGUCCACACGGUAAACGAUGAAUACUCGCUGUAGGCGAUAUACAGUCUGCGGCCAAGCGAAAGCAUUAAGUAUUCCACCUGGGGAGUACGCCGGCAACGGUGAAACUCAAAGGAAUUGACGGGGGCCCGCACAAGCGGAGGAACAUGUGGUUUAAUUCGAUGAUACGCGAGGAACCUUACCCGGGCUUAAAUUGCAACCGAAUAUGGCGGAAACGCUAUAGCUAGCAAUAGCGGUUGUGAAGGUGCUGCAUGGUUGUCGUCAGCUCGUGCCGUGAGGUGUCGGCUUAAGUGCCAUAACGAGCGCAACCCUUGCCGAUAGUUACUAACAGGUUAUGCUGAGGACUCUGUCGGGACUGCCAUCGUAAGAUGUGAGGAAGGUGGGGAUGACGUCAAAUCAGCACGGCCCUUACGUCCGGGGCUACACACGUGUUACAAUGGGGGGUACAGAGGGCUGCUACCACGCAAGUGGAUGCCAAUCCCAAAAACCUCUCUCAGUUCGGAUUGAAGUCUGCAACCCGACUUCAUGAAGCUGGAUUCGCUAGUAAUCGCGCAUCAGCCACGGCGCGGUGAAUACGUUCCCGGGCCUUGUACACACCGCCCGUCAAGCCAUGGGAGCCGGGGGUACCUGAAGUGCGUAACCGCAAGGAGCGCCCUAGGGUAAAACUGGUGACUGGG
rnacentral:rRNA from 1 species